rnacentral:rRNA from 1 species
UUCGCCCGCCGCGCCCCGCGCCCGUCCCGCCCCCGCCCACGGGCGCAGCAGGCGCGAUAAUACGUAGGGUGCGAGCGUUAAUCGGAAUUACUGGGCGUAAAGCGUGCGCAGGCGGUUAUGUAAGACAGAUGUGAAAUCCCAGGGCUCAACCUGGGAACUGCAUUUGUGACUGCAUGGCUAGAGUGCGGUAGAGGGGGAUGGAAUUCCGCGUGUAGCAGUGAAAUGCGUAGAUAUGCGCAGGAACACCGAUGGAGAAGUCAAUCUCCUGGCCCCCUAGUGCCGCUCAUGCGAAAAAGCGUGGGGAACAAACAAGAUUAGAUCCCCUGGUCCCCACCCCAAAAACGAGUCAACUGGUUGUGGG